rnacentral:rRNA from 1 species
UUUUUAUGGAGAGUUUGAUCCUGGCUCAGGAUGAACGCUGGCGGCGUGCCUAAUACAUGCAAGUCGAGCGAA